rnacentral:rRNA from 1 species
AUUGAACGCUGGCGGCAGGCCUAAUACAUGCAAGUCGAACGCGUGGCGGACGGGUGAGUAAUGUCUGGGAAACUGCCUGAUGGAGGGGGCUAACUACUGGAACCGGUAGCUAAUACCGCUUACCAUCGUAUGUGCCCAGAUUGGAUUAGCUAGUCGGUGGGGUAAAGGCUCACCUAGUCGACGAUCCCUAGCUGGUCUGAGAGGAGGACCAGCCACACUGGACCUGAGACACGGUCCAGACUCCUACGGGAGGCAGCAGUGGGGAAGAUUGCACAAUGGGGGAAAGCCUGAUGCAGAAAUGCCGCGUGUAUGAAGAAGGCCUUCGGGUUGUAAAGUACUUUCAGCGGGGAGGCGUUACCCGCAGAGAAAGCACCGGCUAACUCCGUGCCAGCAGCCGCGGUAAUAC